rnacentral:lncRNA from 1 species
UGUGGUGGGUUAUGGUGUCUGAUGUGAAAGGGAAGCAUGGUUUGUUUGUGUAUUGGUUUUAGGCCCAUUAUGAGAAUGCACCCACACUACUCAGGUAACGAGGCUUAAGGGCUAGUUGCCAUAGGUUCCGAGCCUGUGUGGCCGGAGGAAGCGUUGAACACUAGACCCGUAGUGUCUAGUGAAAUUUUGUGGACCAGAUGAU